rnacentral:rRNA from 1 species
CAGUAGCCGCGGGAAUACGGAGGAUCCAAGCGUUAUCCGGAUUUAUUGGGUUUAAAGGGUGCGUAGGCGGUUCAGUAAGUCUUGUGUGAAAUCUAUGGGCUCAGCCCAUAGUCUGCACGGGAAACUGUCAGGCUUGAGAAUGGGAGAGGUGAGUGGAAUUUCCGGUGUAGCGGUGAAAUGCGUAGAUAUCGGAAGGAACACCUGUGGCGAAAGCGGCUCACUGGACCAUUUCUGACGCUGAUGCACGAAAGCUAGGGGAGCAAACAGGAUUAGAUACCCCCGUAGUCCCUGUCUCUUAUAC